rnacentral:rRNA from 1 species
GAUGAACGCUGGCGGCGUGCCUAAUACAUGCAAGUCGAGCGAACAGACGAGGAGCUUGCUCCUCUGACGUUAGCGGCGGACGGGUGAGUAACACGUGGAUAACCUACCUAUAAGACUGGGAUAACUUCGGGAAACCGGAGCUAAUACCGGAUAAUAUAUUGAACCGCAUGGUUCAAUAGUGAAAGACGGUUUUGCUGUCACUUAUAGAUGGAUCCGCGCCGCAUUAGCUAGUUGGUAAGGUAACGGCUUACCAAGGCAACGAUGCGUAGCCGACCUGAGAGGGUGAUCGGCCACACUGGAACUGAGACACGGUCCAGACUCCUACGGGAGGCAGCAGUAGGGAAUCUUCCGCAAUGGGCGAAAGCCUGACGGAGCAACGCCGCGUGAGUGAUGAAGGUCUUCGGAUCGUAAAACUCUGUUAUUAGGGAAGAACAGAUGUGUAAGUAACUAUGCACGUCCUGACGGUACCUAAUCAGAAAGCCACGGCUAACUACGUG